rnacentral:SRP_RNA from 1 species
GCUAGGUGUGGUGGUCAAUGACUAAUCCUUCCUCCUGGGGGUUGCUGAAGCUGGUGGUUCUUCUGGGCUCAAGAGUUCUGAGCUUCAGUGGGUUAGGCUGAUUGGGUGUCUGAACUAAGUCUAGUACCCAUAUGAUGAGUCCCUGGGAGCAGGAAACCACUAGGCUGCCUAAGGAGAGAUUAAACUGGCCUACGUCAGAAAUGAGCUGGUCAAAGCUCCCAUGCCAAUCCAUAGUGGGAUAUAGUCUAUGAAUGGCUGCUGCAAUUCUAUCCUGGGCAAGAUAGAGAAAGAAAGA